rnacentral:rRNA from 1 species
UACGUAGGGUGCAAGCGUUGUCCGGAAUUAUUGGGCGUAAAGAGCUCGUAGGCGGUUUGUUGCGUCGGCUGUGAAAUCCCGAGGCUCAACCUCGGGUCUGCAGUCGAUACGAGCAAACUAGAGUGUUGCAGGGGAGACUGGAAUUCCUGGUGUAGCGGUGGAAUGCGCAGAUAUCAGGAGGAACACCGGUGGCGAAGGCGGGUCUCUGGGCAGUAACUGACGCUGAGGCACGAAAGCGUGGGUAGCGAACAGG